rnacentral:rRNA from 1 species
GGACUACAGGGGUUUCUAAUCCUGUUUGAUCCCCACGCUUUCGGGUCUGAGUGUCAGUGUUAGGCCAGUUACCCGCCUUCGCCUCCGGUAUUCCUCUUGAUAUCUACGUAUUUCACCACUACACCAAGAAUUCUAGUAACCUCUCCUACACUCAAGCUUCGCAGUAUCAAAUGCACUUCCAGGGUUGAGCCCUGGGCUUUCACACCUGACUUACAAAGCCACCUACACCCGCUUUACGCCCAAUAAUUCCGAACAACGCUAGGAUCCCUCGUCUUACCGCGGCUGCUGGCAC